UACGGAGGGUGCGAGCGUUGUCCGGAAUCACUGGGCGUAAAGGGCGCGUAGGCGGCCUGGCAAGUCGAUGGUGAAAGCCCGAGGCUCAACUUCGGGUCGGCCACUGAUACUGCUGGGCUUGAGUCGACUAGAGGCAGAUGGAAUUCCGGGUGUAGCGGUGGAAUGCGUAGAGAUCCGGAAGAACACCGGCGGCGAAGGCGGUCUGCUGGGGUCGAACUGACGCUGAGGCGCGACAGCGUGGGGAGCAAACAGG
rnacentral:rRNA from 1 species